ACGCACGGCGUUUUGUUUUUUUUUCCCCACCGGGGGAUUUUCUCGUCCCCCUUCGGAGAGACGUCUCGACCGACGUGCGAAACGUACUAUAUGGCAAUGUCUGAGAAAUUUACCAAAUUCAGAACAAUGAUGAAUUCCAUGUGGGGCAUCACAUUUGCUGUCAUCACCGGAACUGUUGCCUUACAAGUAACCUGGCGGUACUUCAAACCAAUAAGAGAUCGAAAUAGGCUUCGUGAAAAUGAACAAUUGUCUGAGUUCUUGUUUCAGCAAGAAUUAGCUCAUGGAAGACGACAAACGUCACAAUUAGAUGCAGAUGCCUAAUUGCCUGAGAUUCCUAAAAAUAAAUAAAUAAAAUAAAUAAAAAGGUAACAUUUGUUACAACUGAUUGUAGUCGUAUUUUUGUAAAGAUAUUGCAAUAUUUAAGUUGUUCUAUAUGUAAUUACAGUGUUUUUGUUUUUCUUUUGUAUAUUGAUUUAAAUUAAUACCAGCCAAUUAUUCAAAUACUCUUUUUCCCCCAACCUUUUAGCAUAGGUGAACAUUGUUUUUGAACUUUUAAUAUUAAAUUGUUUGAUUGGUGGAA